GGCCUAACACAUCGCAAGUCGAACGCCCCGCAAGGGGAGUGGCGCACGGGUGAGUAACACGUGGGAACCUACCUUCUGGUACGGAACAACCAAGGGAAACUUUGGCUAAUACCGUAUACGACCUCCGGGUGAAAGAUUUAUCGCCGGAAGAGGGGCCCGCGUCCGAUUAGGUAGUUGGUGGGGUAACGGCCUACCAAGCCGACGAUCGGUAGCUGGUCUGAGAGGAUGACCAGCCACACUGGGACUGAGACACGGCCCAACUCCUACGGGAGGCCAGCAGUGGGGAAUAUUGGACAAUGGGCGCAA
rnacentral:rRNA from 1 species